GUGACCCACAAUUCAACGGCCGCGGUAUCAUAACCGUGCAAAGGUAGCGUAAUCACUUGUCCUCUAAAUGAAGACUAGUAUGAACGGCUAAUUGAGGACUUCACUGUCUCCCAUGGCAAAUCAAUGAAACUGAUCUCUCAGUACAAAAGCUGAGAUAACCCCACAAGACGAGAAGACCCUGUGGAACUUUAAACCUACGCUACAUGAAUUCCUACUAAACCCAACAUGAGUUUAAAUACGAUUUUCACGCUAGCCUAAAUUUUAAGUUGGGGCGACUGCGGAGACCAACAAAACCUCCAUGGAAUAGGACUAAAACCCCCACCAACAGGCCAACAAGCCUAUUGACCACACAGCCCAAGGACCCAGUAUCACUGACCAACGGACCAAGCUACCCCAGGGAUAACAGCGCCAUCUCCCUCAAGAGUCCAUAUCGCCAGGGAGGAUUACGACCUCGAUGUUGGAUCAGGACACCCAGGUGGUGAAGCCGCCACUAACGGUUCGUUUGUUCACGAUUAAAGUCCU
rnacentral:rRNA from 1 species